GAUGAACGCUGACAGAAUGCUUAACACAUGCAAGUCUUUGGCGAAGCUGUGCUUGCACAGCCUAGCCAAGGCGGACGGGUGGGUAACGCGUAAUGAACUUGCCCUGCAGUCAGGGAUAACAGACGGAAACGACUGAUAAGACCUGGUAAAGUCAGGCGGACUCAUGUCCAGCCUGAUGAAAAGAGAUGCUGCAGGAGAGCCUUGCGUCCUAUUAGCUUGUUGGUGGGGUAACGGCCCCCCAAGGCGAUGAUAGGUAGCCGGCCUGAGAGGGUGGACGGCCACAAGGGGACUGAGAUACGGCCCUUACUCCUGCGGGAGGGAGCAGUGGGGAAUAUUGGAAAAUGGGGGCAACCCUGAUCGAGCAAUUCUGUGUGAACGAUGAAGGUUUUCGGAGUGUAAAGUGCUUGCAGCAGGGAAGAAAAAAAUGACGGUACCUGCAGAAGAAGCGACGGCUAAAUACGUG
rnacentral:rRNA from 1 species